rnacentral:rRNA from 1 species
GACGAACGCUGGCGGCGUGCUUAACACAUGCAAGUCGAACGAUGAUCAGGAGCUUGCUCCUGUGAUUAGUGGCGAACGGGUGAGUAACACGUGAGUAACCUGCCCCUGACUCUGGGAUAAGCGUUGGAAACGACGUCUAAUACUGGAUAUGAUCACUGGCCGCAUGGUCUGGUGGUGGAAAGAUUUUUUGGUUGGGGAUGGACUCGCGGCCUAUCAGCUUGUUGGUGAGGUAAUGGCUCACCAAGGCGACGACGGGUAGCCGGCCUGAGAGGGUGACCGGCCACACUGGGACUGAGACACGGCCCAGACUCCUACGGGAGGCAGCAGUGGGGAAUAUUGCACAAUGGGCGAAAGCCUGAUGCAGCAACGCCGCGUGAGGGAUGACGGCCUUCGGGUUGUAAACCUCUUUUAGUAGGGAAGAAGCGAAAGUGACGGUACCUGCAGAAAAAGCACCGGCUAACUACGUG